GCAUGUGUUGUACAAGCUAGAGCGCAUCAGGGCAACAGUGUGGUUCCGGAAGUAAUGGUGCGUUCGAAUAUUCUCUGCGAACCGACUCGGAUCUCGGAUCUGAUGCCACGCCCACACUUCAAGCGUUUUAUUAUUUUGCUCGGUCGUUGGAGGAAAACAUGGACGCCACCCGGAAAGCUGUUGUCGCGGUAGCAUUGGCAGAGGACCAGGCGAUCCAAUAUAAUGUGACACGACGUCUCUGAUUGGUGGUGCUCGACUUAACUUACCAGGAAACGUUUACUGGACACGCGAGAGUAAGUAGGCGAGAGUUUGAAUCUAGGCAGGAAGCUGUGUUCAUCCCUGUUCAUGUUCAGUGGUGUUUGUUCGGUUAAGCUGUAGUGUAGUUCUCAAGGGCCACCAACUUGAAUGUUUUUCAUUCCUCCCUGUUUUUCACACACAAUUUCAUUUAGUCAAGAUCAAGCCUUUGUGAUUCAUCACCAGUUAUGAAAAAAGAAAGUUAAUCUAUGGGCUGGAGCAGCUGUCUCUGAGAGGAAAAGAAAAAAAUUAUAGCUCAAAGAACAAAAGCAAUGGCAUCACUUAUAAUUACAUCUGUAACUACUUAUAAAGUACUAUGUUGCACGUGCAGAUGCGACCACUUCUUUUUUCUGGGCAGCUGAUUUGGCUUUUGAGACACGGACCAUCUUGUAGAGACAAGGCUCAAUCAAAGACCAAAAAGCCAUCAGGUGGUCGUAGCUGGCAAAUCUAUUCACAAAAGACAUCAAAUAAAAAAGUUAAAUUGAAAGUGUACAUCACAAGGAUACAUUGUUACCAAAAUAAUGUCAACAGUAACUACUAAGAUUACGAUUUUAUAUAUAUAUAUAUAUAUAUAUAUAUAUACAGUAUAUGUAGCAGGGUGACCUGUAUUUUUCCCCUAUACCUGUUUCAGCCUCAGUCACCUCCCUUUUACCUGUAUUGUGACUUGUGCCACUACCCAAUGGUUGCUCUACCCGGAUGGCACCAUAACUAAUCCCUGGCACUCUGAGCGAAAGGUUUGUUUAGUUUCCUCUUUGGGUGCAGUUCAAUAACUGCCCCAACUUCCUGUAAGACGACCUGAUGUGUCUGGAUAUCCAAUGCCCUAAUGUGGUCUCUGUGCUCUCUCUUUAGAGUAGUGUUCCUGUCCGGGCCGUAUCUUUGGGAGGCGCUGUUUGGUGGUUUGCCGUGAACUUGCAUGCAGAUAAGUAGGGUGUUACCUGCUCAAUUCAUACAUUUUUACAAUUGUUUAUUAAUAGUAUUUUUGUUCUAGGACCAGCAUUGGUGGAGUUGGAGACGGUCUCAUUCUGGCGCUGUCGCUUCAGUGCUCCUAUUUUCAUCUCAUAGAAUAAUAACUUAUGACUUUUUUCAACUAUUUAAAAAUAAACUUUUGUAGACUUGACCUGGAAACACGUCUCUGUAAGCCUUUACACAAAUCUGUAUUAUAAAUGUUGUUUGUCUCUAUACUAUUGGUGCGUCAUAUUCAUAUAUAUAAAUUCUGAUAAGACAUGGACAUCUCCAACUCCAAUUACACCAUCUCUCAACAUGAACUACUUGUG
ensembl:lncRNA